AAAAAAUUGAGGUAUUCAUUACCUCUUUUUGUAUUUUAAAAAACCUCACACUAUAAAACCUAAAAUUUUUUUUAAAAAUAAAAUUAA
rnacentral:misc_RNA from 1 species